UACGAAGGGGGCUAGCGUUGCUCGGAAUCACUGGGCGUAAAGGGUGCGUAGGCGGGUCUUUUAAGUCAGGGGUGAAAUCCUGGAGCUCAACUCCAGACUGCCUUUGAUACUGAAGAUCUUGAGUUCGGGAGAGGUGAGUGGAACUGCGAGUGUAGAGGUGAAAUUCGUAGAUAUUCGCAAGAACACCAGUGGCGAAGGCGGCUCACUGGCCCGAUACUGACGCUGAGGCACGAAAGCGUGGGGAGCAAACAGGG
rnacentral:rRNA from 1 species